GUGGGGAAUCUUCCGCAAUGGACGAAAGUCUGACGGAGCAACGCCGCGUGAGUGAUGACGGCCUUCGGGUUGUAAAGCUCUGUGAUCGGGGACGAAUGGCUGGUAUGCUAAUACCAUAUCAGAGUGACGGUACCCGAAUAGCAAGCCACGGCUAACUACGUGCCAGCAGCCGCGGUAAUACGUAGGUGGCAAGCGUUGUCCGGAAUUAUUGGGCGUAAAGCGCGCGCAGGCGGCUUCUUAAGUCCAUCUUAAAAGUGCGGGGCUUAACCCCGUGAUGGGAUGGAAACUGGGAGGCUGGAGUAUCGGAGAGGAAAGUGGAAUUCCUAGUGUAGCGGUGAAAUGCGUAGAGAUUAGGAAGAACACCGGUGGCGAAGGCGACUUUCUGGACGACAACUGACGCCGAGGCGCGAAAGCGUGGGGAGCAAACAGGAUUAGAAACCCGUGUAGUCC
rnacentral:rRNA from 1 species